rnacentral:lncRNA from 1 species
GGAGGCACACCAACCAUUGUUUCCUCAUCAGCUUGAGCUCUGAUCUAAUUAGCAUUCAGCAAGCAUCUCGAAAUCUCUUUAGCUCGACUGGUGGAGCAAUCUUUGCUGCAGUGUGCACACAAGCGUCCUGAUCAAGAUGCAGGGAGGAGGGAGAGCAAGAGGUCCGGCUGGAGCGGCGGUGCUGGUGCUUGCGCUGCUGCUCGUGGCAGCACCGGCAUCGGUGUAUGCCGACGCCACGGCAGCACCGGCGCGGCGCCUCCUAGGAGCUGAUGGUGGCGCUGCCGCUGCGCCGCCGCCACCACCACUGCCGGUGUCCGUCAGGAAGGCAUUGUCAGUGCCUCAUUGCGGCCAAACGAACAGCAAAAACAUUUCUUGCCCUCCCGCGCGCGCGCCAUAGCAAGCUUGCAUUGCCAGCGAUAUAUAUACGUGCACAGUGCACAUACUCUUCCUAUAAUAAUAUAAGGGUGAUUUUUUUUCUUCGGACUAAUGGGUUUAGCUUGAAUAAGUUUGUUGUUCGUAGGCUGGCAGCAUUGAUCACGAUCAUUAUCAGUGGAGAAUAAUUUAUUCGUUUCAAUUAUUACCAGUUAUUUUGUACUGUGUAAGAAGUAAAUUAAAGAGCAAUCAGCUAUAUAUAUCAUGCGUUAUGGCUAUUUAUCAUGCGUACAUGUGACAAAAUAAUUUAUGUUUUAUUAUUUUAGCUAGCAGUUCAAUGCUGAAAAACGACUCCAAAAUGGUGUAGUAUACUUUGUAACUUAGGC